AAAAAGAAGACACAAAAGGAGUAGAGAAGAAAUAAAGUUCAUUACUGUGGUUUUUACCCCAAAGAGGUACACCACAAAUUGCCAGCUAAUCUAGAUAGAAUGGAUACAUUGUGUUGGAUCAAGGUCCAGUUUUCUCUGCAGUUCUCUGAAGUGUUAAGGGAUAGAGCCUAUUUAAGAAAACUUCCUUUUAUGCCAGGUGGCUUAAAUGGGGCUUCUCUUAAUAGGCCACCCUGUAUUCCAAAUGGGAAAGAAAACUUCUCAGGAAGCACCUCUUUGUGGCAAAACAUCUGAAAACCAUUCACAUUUGGGUCUUCUAAUUUUCAACAGUGCCACUUCUGCACUCUGUUCUCAAGGCACCCGGAGGGUAAUCCUGGGACGUCCUCUCCUCCUCUUCAUGCAUGUUUCUGAGUGCAUGAAGUUGUGAAGGUUCUACAUGUAAUGCAUAUGUGACGCAUCAUCUUAUCAUAUAUUCCUUCCUAUACAUUGUUUACACUCCAGCUACUGGAUGGGAUGUUCCAUGCAAACUUAAAUUGCUGUUGGCAAACUAUAGAGGGAGGUCAGACAAGAAAAUUCCACAAUAUUCCAAGUUCAACUAAUCCAUCAGGUUUCUCUGUUAACGCCAAGAUUUAGAAGAUUUAAUUAAAAUUAUUGUUCUCUAAAUGACAGUUUGUGACAGAAAAGUAAAUCUUUUUAGAAUGCUGACAUUAA